rnacentral:lncRNA from 1 species
GACUCCUACAUAUCCCGCUAUGGGUCUUAUUAGGGCUGCAAGCACAAUCAAAGGUUGAUCUCAAUCACAUUCCUCGCCCUAUCCCAAGUUUUGUUGUGAUUCUACGUGAGACCCGUCAUGUCUCUCAGGCAAACCCCUCCCCGGUAAUUUGUCUCCCCAUUUCCUGAAAAAUAUAGCCUCACUUGUAGUGUUGAUGUUGUAUUAAAAUAAUACGUUUGGUUAGAUUUUUUUUUUUUUUUACUUUUGUUUUGCGAAGUGAAGUAACUAGCGCAAAUUAUUGAAUUCCCUCACAAUUAGUUGACAAUCAUGUCAAAGGCUUAAGAUAGUCUCAAAUAGUUGUACAUAUUUCUGGUUCUUUAUUCUAGUUGCUGUUUUUCUCCCAUGUGAAGCAGGCAACAAGUGAUUAUAUCGUCAAAUACACUGGGAAUUGUAGUCCACAAUUUAUGAGUUCUACAAUUAAUUAGGUAAAGUUACUUCAUUUUGUAUUCAAUUUUUUGUUAAUUUAUCAUUUUUUGGGUAGUGGACAGGGACUGAAAUCUUUCAUGAGCAAUUAAAUUUCCAAUGAGUUUACCUUAAUUGAGGCUUUUAUUUAUGUUAUAGAUUCCAUACAUUAAUAUGGACUUUUUUUUUUUUUUUUUUUUUUUUGGUGCAAUUACUUUCCAGUAAGAGUUGUAGUGUGUGGGUAUGUUGAUUAUGAUUUGAAUUGAAUUUUAUGACCUGAUUUGGGUAAGAUGUGACUUGUUU